CCUACGGGAGGCAGCAGUGAGGAAUAUUGGUCAAUGGGCGCGAGCCUGAACCAGCCAAGUAGCGUGAAGGAUGACUGCCCUACGGGUUGUAAACUUCUUUUGUCAGGGAGCAAUUGGCGCUACGUGUAGCGUUAUCGAGAGUACCUGAAGACAAAGCCUCGGCUAACUCCGUGCCAGCAGCCGCGGUAAUACGGAGGAUGCGAGCGUUAUCCGGAUUUAUUGGGGUUAAAGGGUGCGUAGGCGGAAUGCCAAGUCAGCGGUAAAAUCGCGGGGCUCAAGCUCGCUCCGACGUUGAAACUGGCGGUCUUGAGUGGGCGAGAAGUAUGCGGAAUGCGUGGUGUAGCGGUGAAAUGCAUAGAUAUCACGCAGAACUCCGAUUGCGAAGGCAGCAUACCGGCGCCCAACUGACGCUGAAGCACGAAAGCGUGGGUAUCGAACAGGAUUAGAUACCCCUGUAGUC
rnacentral:rRNA from 1 species